AAGCCAUUUUGGUUUGGUUUGCCUACACCUAUAUGCAACUUAAUUUUCUUGUCAUCUGUUUCCCAAAUUUCAUAGAUUUUCUCCACAAAUUUGAAGUGCCAAAAGUGCGAAACCCAUGAAUGAAUAUCCUUAACCAACAUGGUACUUAAGGGUACAAUGAAGUAUAGGAGGUUCUAACUUCUAAUUGCAAAUGCAUGGAUCAAAAUAAUACAUCAUUGACAUGAAAAUCUGUUUUGCAAAGAGAUUCAUACAGUCAUCACUGAACCUUAUUCAAUUCAUUUUACAAGAACAAAGGAAAAGGAUUGACCACAACUGAGUGAUUGAAUCUAGUGAUAUAACAAAUUUUUUUAUGGCCAAAUUGGAUCUUAUCAGAUAAGCUAUCAGUUGACAAGCCAACUUUUAAAAGAAAUCAAACCACAUCUAAUGGCCAUGGCUUUAAUCGCUUAAUCUCUAGUAUAACAAGUUUCAACUGAAGUGCUAAAAAUUAAUGCAAUUACUUACCUUUUUCACUAGCAUAAACAUGUA
rnacentral:misc_RNA from 1 species